GUAGCUCCUCUCUCCGAGAGCUGAAGGCGUCCCUGGGAGCUGAGCGAUGUUGGGCAGGAGAAUCCGGUAUGGGAAGCUCAAAGAAGAUAUACACUUGAAGAGACUAUCCUAAAGAUGUCAAUCAGAAAGCAGAAUGCAGA
rnacentral:lncRNA from 9 species